UGCGGGACUGUUUGCACAUUUUCGCACAACGGCAAUUCGCGCGUGCAACGUGCAACGGCAACACGGCUACGUUCAAAAAGCUCAAUCGACGUUGUACUCGGUAGGGCUACAGCAUUUCGUUCGCUUCGGAAGACGUAAUUUUUCGUCGAAAUUUAAUUCGAUUCGAUUGACUCCAAUGACUUAAGUGCGUGAUCGCUUGUGAAUUUGGAAUUGGUUUUUUUUUUUUUUUUUUUUGUUAAACUAUAUGCAUACUUGAAUACUGUGAACAAGCCAUAAGUAAUCGUAAUUACAAAAUUAUUCGCACGAAAAUUAUUACAUUUCCCCAAAUACAUGUAUCGAGUUUAAAGUGUAUACGGGUUACCCCAAAAUGCAAUUGUACAAAUACUAGAAAAGUAAUGCAAUAAAUAAAAAAUAUUACGAUUAGCGUGUGCAAGUUUUGUGACAAGUGCAUUAAGGAAAUAACUGGUUGUGAUUGAUUGGCUUCCUUCUUGAGUGAUAUUUAAGCAAAAUAUUUAUUUCCAUCACACGAUUUGGCUAGCAACUUACACCAAAUUUUGCGCAAAAUUCCAAUCGUCUGACUCUGCCGUUUGAAGCGGAGAAUAGAAUAACUGUAAAAAUGUGCUGAAAAAAGUGUCAAUUUACAGUUUUGAAAAAUUGCAAAAAAAGAGCUACUUAAAUACACACAACUUAUAGCUGCUAAUUCUAAAAAGGUUAAGACAAAAAAUAUCGGAAACUAUUGCCUUCGUUUUGAGUGAAAAACCGACUUUAAGUAACUCCACAAUGGCAUGAACAAAUUGAUGAUAUCCGAAUAUAAAAAAACCAGUGGCAGCUAUAUAUUUCAGCAAAGGAAAAACAGUUUUUACAUCUGCAGUCUUACUACAAGCAUAAGUGGAAUGGAAAAUAAAUUACAAAAAUGCGUAAAUAAAAAUAAAAAAAAGACUACAUACAACAACAGGCAGGCUGUAUAAGUGAGUGAUAAAUUAAAUUUACACAUAUAAUUUCAAGAAGUGACUGUUAAAAAAAGACUUGUUCAAAUAAAAGUGCUUUACACUAAAAUAAAUUCUUAAAUGAAAACGAAAAGAAUUUGUAUUCCUCAAAUUUAGAAAAAGUAAAUAAUUAUUUUCUGAGGAUAACAAUACUUUUUCUGAGUGAAAUUGACAAUGACAACUGACGAAGUAAUCACUAUAAUAACUUAUACAUGUGUAUGUGUUGAGUUUCCGAAUAACUAAUAAGACAAAAGUUUUUCGUGAGUUUACAAUGAAGUGGUACGUAUGCAUGUGUUUUUAGCUAUUAAAACGUUAUAAAAAAACACAAAAUAAAACAAAGUAGACAAAGAAGGAAACCAAUGAAAACAGAGAACUACUCUUCAAGCACCUGAAACAAAUUGGGAAAACUGUAAUGAAAUGUAUUAAUAUGAACUUGUGAGAAAGAUUUGUGUUUAUUUAAAAACUAAACACAAUUUAAACCAAGUUUUUAAAUAAGCACAAAAAAGUGGAAAACAAUCAAAAAACUGAAAAAAACUACGAAACUUUGUUUGACUAUUUAACAGCAUAGCUUGCUGUAAGCUUUAGCAAAAACAACACUUG